AUUUUACGCUGGCGGCAUGCCUUACACAUGCAAGUCGAACGGCAGCACGGAGCUUGCUCUGGUGGCGAGUGGCGAACGGGUGAGUAAUAUAUCGGAACGUACCCUAGAGUGGGGGAUAACGUAGCGAAAGUUACGCUAAUACCGCAUACGAUCUAAGGAUGAAAGUGGGGGAUCGCAAGACCUCAUGCUCGUGGAGCGGCCGAUAUCUGAUUAGCUAGUUGGUAGGGUAAAAGCCUACCAAGGCAUCGAUCAGUAGCUGGUCUGAGAGGACGACCAGCCACACUGGAACUGAGACACGGUCCAGACUCCUACGGGAGGCAGCAGUGGGGAAUUUUGGACAAUGGGCGAAAGCCUGAUCCAGCAAUGCCGCGUGAGUGAAGAAGGCCUUCGGGUUGUAAAGCUCUUUUGUCAGGGAAGAAACGGUGAAAGCUAAUAUCUUUUGCUAAUGACGGUACCUGAAGAAUAAGCACCGGCUAACUUACGUGCCAGCAGCCGCGGUAAUACGUAGGGUGCAAGCGUUAAUCUGAAUUACUGGGCGUAAAGCGUGCGCAGGCGGUUUUGUAAGUCUGAUGUGAAAUCCCCGGGCUCAACCUGGGAAUUGGCUUGGAAACUGCAGGGCUGAAUCUGGCAAAAGGGGGUAGAAUUCCCCGUGUACCAAUGAAAUGCCUAAAUAUGUGGAGGGAACACCGAUGGGGGAAGGCAGCCCCCUUGGUUCAAGAUGACCGCUCAUGCACGAAAAGCGUGGGGGAGCAAACAGGAUUAGAUACCCUGGUAGUCCACGCCCUAAACGAUGUCUACUAGUUGUCGGGUCUUAAUUGACUUGGUAACGCAGUUAACGCGUGAAGUAGACCGCCUGGGGAGUACGGUCGCAAGAUUAAAACUCAAAGGAAUUGACGGGGACCCGCACAAGCGGUGGAUGAUGUGGAUUAAUUCGAUGCAACGCGAAAAACCUUACCUACCCUUGACAUGGCUGGAAUCCUUGAGAGAUCAGGGAGUGCUCGAAAGAGAACCAGUACACAGGUGCUGCAUGGCUGUCGUCAGCUCGUGUCGUGAGAUGUUGGGUUAAGUCCCGCAACGAGCGCAACCCUUGUCAUUAGUUGCUACGAAAGGGCACUCUAAUGAGACUGCCGGUGACAAACCGGAGGAAGGUGGGGAUGACGUCAAGUCCUCAUGGCCCUUAUGGGUAGGGCUUCACACGUCAUACAAUGGUACAUACAGAGCGCCGCCAACCCGCGAGGGGGAGCUAAUCGCAGAAAGUGUAUCGUAGUCCGGAUUGUAGUCUGCAACUCGACUGCAUGAAGUUGGAAUCGCUAGUAAUCGCGGAUCAACAGGUCGCGGUGAAUACGUUCCCGGGUCU
rnacentral:rRNA from 1 species